UAGUCCACGCCGUAAACGAUGUCUGCUAGCUGUCAGCCCCUUAGGGGUUGGUGGCGGAGCGAAAGUAUUAAGCAGACCGCCUGGGGAGUACGGCCGCAAGGUUAAAACUCAAAGGAAUUGACGGGGACCCGCACAAGCGGUGGAGCAUGUUCUUUAAUUCGAAGCAACGCGAAGAACCUUACCUACUCUUGAAAUCCUGCGAACUUGCUAGAGAUAGCUUGGUGCCUUCGGGAACGCAGUGACAGGUGCUGCAUGGCUGUCGCCAGCUCGUGUUGUGAAAUGUUGGGUUAAGUCCCGUAACGAGCGCAACCCCUAUCCUUAGUUGCCAGCGCGUAAUGGCGGGGACUCUAAGGAGACUGCCGGUGACAAACCGGAGGAAGGCGGGGAUGACGUCAAGUCAUCAUGGCCCUUACGAGUAGGGGCUACACACGUGCUACAAUGGGCGCAUACAGACGGUUGCGAAGUCGCGAGAUGGGAGCUAAAUCUG
rnacentral:rRNA from 1 species